CAGAAAAUUAGAAAAAUUAAAACGCCAUUCUCCCUCCCUUCAACUUACUCGAUUGCGACCUACUCUUCCAUGGCGGACGAAAUUUAAUCAAUUGCUCAUCUUCUUCAACUUACUCGAUUAUUCUCGCAUAUCUCUUUAGCUUCUUUGCGAUCUUUUUCCAAUUCUCCAGGCAAAUGACUCUGGCCUUGCCUCAUAUGUCGGUGGUCAGAUUGAUCGAUCCCUGAGCUGGAAGGAGACGACGUGUGGAUGAUGGAAGCGUGGGAGAUGGUGGCAGCGUGGGAGAUGGUGGCGGCGCGGUGGUUGGUGCAGGUGAGGAGACGACAGCGGUGAAGAGAGAGAACCACGAAGGAGAAGGAAAAUGGAGGAGAGAGAAAAUGAGCUACUGAGAAUGAUGCAGGAGGAGAGAUAACCGGGAAUCAGUUUGGAAAAAUAAAUAUUGGCUAUAUUUACGAUUUUGCCAUUACUAAUAGCGCUAGGUAGAGUCUUACCUUCGUUAGAUAUAAUCACAACGAAUGUACAAGAUUGCUUCUCAUUCUUCUCAUUUUAAGAUCCCUUCUCAUUUGAGUCA